CCUCCCCAAAAAGGCAUUUCAGGUGUAGCCACUGUGUCACAUGUGCUUCAAUAAGUGGCAGAGAGGAGAGAGGUUAUGUCUGUGGUCAAUGUUCUGACCUGUAAACAUCUGAAUGAUUCAUAGUCUAACAUU